GACGAACGCUAGCUACAGGCUUAACACAUGCAAGUCGAGGGGUAGCAGGGUAGCAAUACCGCUGACGACCGGCGCACGGGUGAGUAACACGUAUCCAACCUUCCCAUAACUCGGGGAUAGCCUUUCGAAAGAAAGAUUAAUACCCGAUAGUACUUUUUCAAGGCAUCUUGAGAAAGUUAAAGAUUUAUUGGUUAUGGAUGGGGAUGCGUUCCAUUAGAUAGUUGGUGAGGUAACGGCUCACCAAGUCUUCGAUGGAUAGGGGUUCUGAGAGGAAGGUCCCCCACAUUGGUACUGAGACACGGACCAAACUCCUACGGGAGGCAGCAGUGAGGAAUAUUGGUCAAUGGGCGAGAGCCUGAACCAGCCAAGUAGCGUGAAGGAUGAAGGUCCUAUGGAUUGUAAACUUCUUUUAUAGUAGAAUAAAGUGAUCCACGUGUGGAUUUUUGUAUGUAUACUAUGAAUAAGGAUCGGCUAACUCCGUGCCAGCAGCCGCAGUAA
rnacentral:rRNA from 1 species